GUUAGCUCAGUGGUCAGAGCACCCUUCUAGAGUUCAGGUCAAAUAAGUCAUGGGUUCUCAAAUCCCAUAGCA
rnacentral:tRNA from 1 species